CCUAGGGGAGGCUGCAGUGGGGAAUAUUGGACAAUGGGCGAAAGCCUGAUCCAGCCAUGCCGCGUGUGUGAAGAAGGCCUUCGGGUUGUAAAGCACUUUCAGUGGGGAAGAAAGCCUUGGGGCUAAUACCCUCGAGGAAGGACAUCACCCACAGAAGAAGCACCGGCUAACUCCGUGCCAGCAGCCGCGGUAAUACGGAGGGUGCGAGCGUUAAUCGGAAUUACUGGGCGUAAAGCGCGCGUAGGCGGUCUGAUAAGCCGGUUGUGAAAGCCCCGGGCUCAACCUGGGAACGGCAUCCGGAACUGUCAGGCUAGAGUGCAGGAGAGGAAGGUAGAAUUCCCGGUGUAGCGGUGAAAUGCGUAGAGAUCGGGAGGAAUACCAGUGGCGAAGGCGGCCUUCUGGACUGACACUGACGCUGAGGUGCGAAAGCGUGGGUAGCAAACAGGAUUAGAUACCCGAGUAGUC
rnacentral:rRNA from 1 species